GCCUGGAUAGCUCAGUUGGUUAGAGCGUGGUACCGAUAAUGCCAAGGUUACAGGUUCAAUCCCUGUAUGGGGCA